UACGAAGGGUGCGAACGUUGUUCGGAAUUACUGGGCGUAAAGCGCGUGUAGGCGGCAGCGCAAGUCGGGUGUGAAAUCCCCAGGCUUAACCUGGGAACUGCACUCGAGACUGCAUUGCUAGAGUAUGGGAGAGGGAAGUGGAAUUUACGGUGUAGCGGUGAAAUGCGUAGAUAUCGUAAGGAAGACCAGUGGCGAAGGCGGGUCUCUGGACAGUUCCUGACGCUGAGGCACGAAGGUCAGGGGAGCAAACAGG
rnacentral:rRNA from 1 species